GAUGAACGCUAGCGGCAGGCUUAACACAUGCAAGUCGAGGGGUAUAGUUCUUCGGAAUUAGAGACCGGCGCACGGGUGCGUAACGCGUAUGCAAUCUACCUUUCACAGAGGGAUAGCCCCAGAGAAAUUUGGAUUAAUACCUCAUAGUAUAGCAGUUUCGCAUGAAACCACUAUUAAAGUCACAACGGUGAAAGAUGAGCAUGCGUCCCAUUAGCUAGUUGGUAAGGUAACGGCUUACCAAGGCAACGAUGGGUAGGGGUCCUGAGAGGGAGAUCCCCACACUGGUACUGAGACACGGACCAGACUCCUACGGGAGGCAGCAGUGAGGAAUAUUGGACAAUGGCGCAAGCCUGAUCCAGCCAUNCCGCGUGCAGGAUGACGGUCCUAUGGAUUGUAAAC
rnacentral:rRNA from 1 species